rnacentral:tRNA from 1 species
GCCGGAGUGGCGAAACUGGCAGACGCGCUGGAUUCAAAAUCCAGUGGAGGUAACUCCGUGUGGGUUCAAGUCCCUCCUCCGGCACCA